AGACUCCUACGGGAGGCAGCAGUGGGGAAUAUUGCGCAAUGGGGGAAACCCUGACGCAGCGACGCCGCGUGAGCGAUGAAGGCCUUCGGGUCGUAAAGCUCUGUCAGGUGGGAAGAACCGUCCAUCGGCUAAUACCCGGUGGAUCUGACGGUACCACCAGAGGAAGCACCGGCUAACUCCGUGCCAGCAGCCGCGGUAACACGGAGGGUGCAAGCGUUGUUCGGAAUCACUGGGCGUAAAGGACGCGUAGGCGGUCCGGUCAGUCGGAAGUGAAAUCCAUCGGCUCAACCGAUGAACGGCUUCCGAUACUACCGGACUUGAGUACGGGAGAGGAAAGCGGAAUUCCCAGUGUAGAGGUGAAAUUCGUAGAUAUUGGGAAGAACACCGGUGGCGAAGGCGGCUUUCUGGACAGAUACUGACGCUGAGGCGCGAAAGCGUGGGGAGCAAACAGGAUUAGAUACCCUGGUAGUCCACGCUGUAAACGAUGUGCACUAGUGUAGGGGGUCGUUGACCCUUUUCUGUGCCGUAGCUAACGCAUAAGUGCACCGCCUGGGGAGUACGGUCGCAAGGCUAAAACUCAAAGGAUUGACCGGGGCUCGCACAAGCGG
rnacentral:rRNA from 1 species